rnacentral:rRNA from 1 species
GACGAACGCUGGCGGCGUGCUUAACACAUGCAAGUCGAACGGAGAUUCAGCAAUGGAUCUUAGUGGCGAACGGGUGAGUAACGCGUAGGCAAUCUGCCUUCUAGAUGGGGACAACAUCCCGAAAGGGGUGCUAAUACCGAAUGUUGUAUGAUCUUCGCAUGGAGCUGAUACUAAAGGUGGCCUCUGAAUAUGCUACCGCUAGAAGAUGACCCUGCGUCUGAGAAGCUAGUUGGAGGGGUAACGGCCCACCACGGCUUCGAUCAGUAGCCGGUCCGAGAGGAUGAACGGACACACUGGGACUGAGACACGGCCCAGACUCCUACGGGAGGCAGCAGUGGGGAAUAUUCCGCAAUGGACGAAAGUCUGACGGAGCAACGCCGCGUGAGUGAAGAAGGUUUUCGGAUCGUAAAGCUCUUUCGUUAGGGACGAACGUGCUCUUUGUGAAUAAUGAGGAGUAAUGACGGUACCUGACGAGGAAGCCACGGCUAACUACGUGCCAGCAGCCGCAGUAA